UACGUAGGGGGCGAGCGUUGUCCGGAAUUACUGGGCGUAAAGGGCGAGUAGGCGGUCAAGUAAGUCAGAUGUGAAAUGCCGGGGCUUAACCCCGGAUCUGCAUUUGAAACUGUUUGACUUGAGUGCAGGAGAGGAAAGUGGAAUUCCCAGUGUAGCGGUGAUAUGCGUAGAUAUUGGGAGGAACACCAGUGGCGAAGGCGACUUUCUGGACUGUAACUGACGCUGAGGCGCGAAAGCGUGGGGAG
rnacentral:rRNA from 1 species